UGGGAUUAUGCGUCACCCCCGCUAUUGAUGAAAGGACCCUUCUGACUGGUGGGGCGUCACAAGCAGAUUUGGCACAUCGAAUGAGUUACAUUGGG
rnacentral:ribozyme from 1 species